UGCUGCUGGCAAGGCACUUUGCAACCAUACUGUGGCUGUCCUUUUUCAGAUGGCGACCUACUCUCAGCUCCGCCUCCUUGCUGUGCCCCCAGUCUUAAACUGCACAGAGACCGAGCAAUGCUGGCACAAGCCAAGGACUGGGUGUAAAAUCAGGCCGGGUCAGUGAUAUGGUUGUUCUGUCUGCCAAGCCCAAACAAAGGAUAGCUGCCAGUGGUGUUAGUUCUACAUAGGAGCACUCUCGACAAGGCAAUGCGGGGGGAUAUGCCUGAUCCUGAUGUUUUGAAAGUGACCGAAGCAUAUGGAGGCUUUUCACCUGACAUAGCACAGUGCUGAUGUCCCGCUGGUCGAGUCAGAUUUGGGCAAAGUUCAGGAGGGCAGCCUGAUCUCUUACCAGCAGCCAGUGCCAGUCAGCCGCAUCAUGUUACUCCACACUGGAGCUCCUACACCCCCACCUCUGCCCUUGGACGGCUACAGAUUGCAGCCCACUUGUUGCCAGUUUGUGUGCAGUCUCCACCAGCAACUGCAUCUACAAUCUCUACAAACCAACUGGGAAAUGGCAAGGGGAACAGAAGUGGCAACAAGGACCAGAGUAUGUCUGUGGAAUGGCAUCGGGUCAGAAAGAUGAGAUUAACAUUUUCUCACUUUAGGGAGGUUUGAGGUGGUCAGACAUCAGCAGAACAUCUCGCUGAAAGACUGUUCAGGGGUGUGGCCCAAACAUCAUUCAUGAAAAGAGGUCUGGCAUUGGAGCCACGCUAUAUAAAGGAAUACUCUAAAACAGGGGUGUCCAAA